CCUACGGGAGGCAGCAGUGAGGAAUAUUGGUCAAUGGUCGGGAGACUGAACCAGCCAAGCCGCGUGAGGGAUGAAGGUACAGAGUAUCGUAAACCUCUUUUGUCAGGGAACAAAGGCGGGGACGUGUCCCCGGAUGAGUGUACCUGAAGAAAAAGCAUCGGCUAACUCCGUGCCAGCAGCCGCGGUAAUACGGAGGAUGCGAGCGUUAUCCGGAUUUAUUGGGGUUAAAGGGUGCGCAGGCGGUCUGUUAAGUCAGCGGUCAAAGCCCGGGGGUCAACCCCGGCCCGCCGUUGAAACUGGCAGUCGCGAGUUGGAGAGAAGUAUGCGGAAUGCGCGGUGUAGCGGUGAAAUGCAUAGAUAUCGCGCAGAACUCCGAUUGCGAAGGCAGCAUGCCGGCUCCACACUGACGCUGAGGCACGAAAGCGUGGGUAUCGAACAGGAUUAGAUACCCUAGUAGUC
rnacentral:rRNA from 1 species